CCUCCUACACUGCCAUCUGCAUCUGCUCUGCAUGCCCUUCAAAACCCUUCCAUCCCAAGGCCCAAGCCUCGGGACCUGCCCCAAAUGGGGCACACUUAAAGCCAGAAUGGAUCUCUGAGGUAGCCCAGAACACACACACACACACACACACACACACACACACACACUACUCAGAUGAGGAACCAGGGUCCAGAGAGGGAUGGGCCUGGCCUGAAUCACCCACCAGCACAGCAGUGAAGCUGAGACCCCAGCCCACAAGCCCCCUGGACUGGUUAUUUCAGUGUCCGGUCACACUGGGCUGUCAUACGGCCAUGGGGGUAGUUUUCAACUCCAAAUGCCAGCGCCUCUCCAGAAUACAGACAGACCUGGGUUUGAAUCCUUGUCCACCAUCUAAAAGUUAUAAUUUCUCUGUGUCCCUUUCCUCACCUGGAAAAUGGGGAUCAAAAUAACCCCAAUUUGCUGAGGUUCUUAUGAGGUUCAAGUGAGAGGACGCAGGUAGAGCCGCAGCACAGAGUGUGCCCCUGGCACAUACUCCCUGAGUGGUGAUGAUGGUUCUCCACCAUCCCCCGUGCCUGGGGGGGCCCUGCCCCCAAUUUGCUGUGGGCAGGACAGUCAAGGUUGGUGGGGGCAGGAGCAACGACAGUUCGAGUGUGGGACUGCAGGGCAGGAGUGAGACCACUUCCUACUGGAGAAGACCCUGGAAGCCUCCCUGGAGGUGGUGGCAUCAAGCAGAGGAUGCAGAACUCUGUCUCUCUUGCUCUGAAGCUGACUGGGGGCUUUUUGAGUACCGCAGGGCUGAAGGGAAGCACCCUAGCCUGAAAGCCAAUCCCGGCCCAGCCCAAGCUUCUGCCCUGGAUGACCUUGAGGAGGAGUCCCUCCCUUCUCUGGGCAUCCGAAAAAUGGGGCCAGAGAGGACCAGACAACACUCCCUCAAGGCGCCUUUCUGCUCAGGGGCUUGCGCAAGCGGAAGAAGGCGGUGCAGACCCACCCUCGGCAGUACCCAAUUAUUGCCACGGGGCGGCAGCAGGGAGCGAAGCUGCGGUCGGGCCUCCUUUCCCUGCGGCCAGUCCCUCCCCAGCCCCCGGUGGUCUUUGCUCCCCGACCCCCAGCCAGCUCGCCCGAGAGCCAGAGCUGAACGUCCUUCGCAUCCAGACAUGCGAUGCUCCCCGCAGCCCUGCAGGGCGUCAGCAUGCUGGCCGCUUUCCAGAUGGGGAAAAUGAUGGCCCAGAGAGGGGAGCACUUGCUCAAGGCCCCGCGGGAGCCAAGUGUGCCCGGCCGAGGCGGUGUGAAAGGAGACGGCGGUCACACGGUCCUGGCUGGGAUCCCGGUCCCCUCACCUCCCGCUGUGUGUCCUCGGGCAGGUCACCCACCCUCUCUGAACCUCAGUGGAUACGAGUGCUGAUCACAGAAGCCACCGCUUUGUUUCCGGUAGAGUUAAUGCCCCAUGAGAGCGGAGACAUGUCUGUCACUCACCUCAGCGCCCCCAGAGCCUGGCGCAGGGUGGGACACAGAGAAUAGCGCCUUCCUGGCGAUGGGCAGAUGCUGUCUGUCCUCAAACCCCGCCCCACAGCAGCCCCGCGUCAGCCCCGCCUUGCUCCCCUCCCGGCAGCCGUUCCUGCAGGACGCCCACCCUCCCCCCGGCCUCGAGGGGCUCCUGCUCCACUCCCCGCGUGUCCUCUGACUCCACCCGAGCCCGCAGGCCCCUGUCUGGGUCCCGGCCGCUCCCUCGCGUCCCUCCCUCCUGCCGAGCCCCCGCUCCGCUCUACACUGUUCACAAGACAACGAGGACGGUUUUUAUUUCUCUUUUGUCUCCCUUCCUCCCCUGAAGGGAAACGUGUUUCCAAUCUUCCAGGAAAACAUGAAGGCUCCGGAUGAGAAAAAGCAAACAAAGGCCAGUGGGACCGUGGGCGCCCCCCGCCCCCCACGCAGGCCCCGCACGCGAACCGGCGCCCGCGCCCGUGCUGCCCUCCUCCGCCAGGGCCCGAGAACCGCUCUGUUAUUUUGGGGAGUCUUGCCAUGUUGUCCAGGCUGGUCUUGAACUCCUGACCUCAAAUGAUCUGCCUGCCUUGGCCUCCCAAAGUGCUUGGAUUACAGGAUUGAGCCACCACACCAGCCUCAAUUUUCACUUUAAAUUAAAACCUGGAAAUUGCUCAGGGUUACAAGGAUGAGCCGUUAGACGCUGGUUCUGAGGUGGUGCUCACUUCCCGUCUCCCUCUCCUCUGCGGAAGAGUGUGCUUCUGCCUGAGUCAUUGGACCUGAAGGCUCUUCUCACCCCCCACUCCCUCCAUGGCUCCCACUCUCCCUCCCAGCCCCUGCACCGACCUCAGCCACAUCCCCUCCAUGCCUCACACUGACCUCAGGCUGCCAGGUCAAGGUAGAACUCCCCUCACACCCUCCUAUGUCCAGGGGUGGAGGUGAAUUGGGGCUCUGGAUGCCAAGAAUGGAGGAAGGACAAAUGCCAGCCCCAGAGACCCUAGCCUCCUCAAAGAACAACGGGAGAUGGCGCCUGUUUGCCCAGCAGCAGCCAGGCCAGAGCAGGCACUGCCAGGCUAAGCUGCUGAGGUUGGGGACACAGCGAGUGACUCUCCAAGAACAGCAUGUGACAAGCAGACCCUUCCUGGCGGUCGGCCCGGCUGAGAGCUGCCUCCACUGCCCAUCCUGUCCAGGCUUCUCACUGCCCAAAGCAUCUUCUGGCCCUCACACCUUCAGGGCAAAGCCUGAGACCCCUCCCAGCUGCCCAUGAUGCAGCCCCGGGAGCAGCCCCACCCCUGCACCCCGGGCCCCUGCCACUCUGCAUCUCCCGAGUUCUCUGUCCCUUGUCCUUUCGGGGGCACCUACAUGCUUUGCUUUCACCUUGACUUCCAUCUUCGCCCUCGCCAACACACUGUCUCCUCUUGUCCUCCUUGGUCCCUCCCUGAGGAAACUUUCCUCUCCCCCACUUUCAGCCAGAGAAACCCCACUCCUCUGCCCACACCCCCACCUGCCCUGCCCCGUCUCAGGGACUGCCCACUGUCAUCAGAGUCCCACAGUUCUGGAACUUGGGGCAACUUGGCCCUCUUCCAGGCCUACUCCCUGCACUCUCUAAAGGGCGAUCCUGAGCCCAGAGAGGGGCAGGAGCUGCACAAGGCCACACAGCCUGUUAGUGGCAGAGUUAGGACUGGAACACAGCUCUCCCAAGUCCCUGCCUGGGGCUCCUUGGAGGACACAUGGCUUCCCUGCCUGGUGAACCAGAAUGGAACUCUUCAAGGACAGGGACUGUACCAUUCCUUCCAGUGUCCCCUGCCCCUCACCCAGAGCAGGACCCACAGGAAGCAACUGUGAAUACAAAAGGUAAAAAGGAAUAAUUGAAAAUAUAUCUCUAAUGCCUUCUGUGUGCCGGACAUUCAGCAGGCACCAGCUCUGCUACUAGAAA